UACGAAGGGGGGCUAGCGUUGCUCGGAAUGACUGGGCGUAAAGGGCGCGUAGGCGGAUGGCACAGUCAGAUGUGAAAUUCCCGGGCUUAACCUGGGGGCUGCAUUUGAUACGUGUUGUCUAGAGUGAGGAAGAGGGUCGUGGAAUUCCCAGUGUAGAGGUGAAAUUCGUAGAUAUUGGGAAGAACACCGGUGGCGAAGGCGGCGACCUGGUCCUUGACUGACGCUGAGGCGCGAAAGCGUGGGGAGCAAACAGG
rnacentral:rRNA from 1 species